UAGGGAAUCUUCGGCAAUGGGCGAAAGCCUGACCGAGCAACGCCGCGUGAAUGAUGAAGGCCUUCGGGUUGUAAAAUUCUGUUAUAAGGGAAGAACGACUUUAGUAGGAAAUGGCUAAAGUGUGACGGUACCUUAUGAGAAAGCCACGGCUAACUACGUGCCAGCAGCCGCGGUAAUACGUAGGUGGCAAGCGUUAUCCGGAAUUAUUGGGCGUAAAGAGCGCGCAGGUGGUUGAUUAAGUCUGAUGUGAAAGCCCACGGCUUAACCGUGGAGGGUCAUUGGAAACUGGUCGACUUGAGUGCAGAAGAGGGAAGUGGAAUUCCAUGUGUAGCGGUGAAAUGCGUAGAGAUAUGGAGGAACACCAGUGGCGAAGGCGGCUUCCUGGUCUGUAACUGACACUGAGGCGCGAAAGCGUGGGGAGCAAACA
rnacentral:rRNA from 1 species